GUGUGAGAGAUGUGUCACAUUCCACUCAGCAGGCGUGGUGUUCCCUUCUGGCUCCUUGUUUCUUCGGGGCACAGCAGUUACAGGGGUUCUAACGCAGAUUUGAAGCAAGGAUGAAAGCAAACAGCCCUAGAAGUGCUGACUUCUCAAAGCACUGCGCCCCAUCACACCAGCACCCAGGGACAGCAGUGCACCCAGCACCUUCCUCAGAGCAGACUUUCAUCUCCGUCUGAAGGCAGACACGUGCAGCAGGGAAAGCAAUUUACUAACAGCAAUGCUAAAAAUAAAAUGCUUAGAAGAAAGAACACCUGAUUCACCUUAAACACCAUCCCACUCCAAAGCAGUUCACUGUGCAGAGGCACCACCUCUUCUGCUAUGACCCCAUUCAUUUGGGACAUUGACCUCGGGGCAUUGCUGGAGGCGGAAGGGGAAGAUGCAAAUGAUCCUAGAGGAAGUUCAGCCUUGAAGUUCAGCACUGGGAUAAGGACAAGAAUCCUCAGCCUGUCUCCCUUUGUGCUUUGAGGAAAAUGCAUAGCACAGUGUGCUUAACUCCUUCACUUCCAGGAGCAAGCAUCAGUGCUGGGAAAGAGAUAAGGAAAACAAAAUGAUUGUCUUCCAUGAGAAGUCUGCCUAUUAUGUAUCUGAAAGACGUACCAAAAAUAAAAGAGCG
ensembl:lncRNA